UACGUAGGGUGCAAGCGUUGUCCGGAAUUAUUGGGCGUAAAGAGCUCGUAGGCGGUCUGUCACGUCGGCUGUGAAAACCCGAGGCUCAACCUCGGGCCUGCAGUCGAUACGGGCAAACUAGAGUACUGCAGGGGAGACUGGAAUUCCUGGUGUAGCGGUGAAAUGCGCAGAUAUCAGGAGGAACACCGGUGGCGAAGGCGGGUCUCUGGGCCAUUACUGACGCUGGAGGAGCGAAAGCGUGGGGAGCGAACAGG
rnacentral:rRNA from 1 species